CCUACGGGAGGCAGCAGUGGGGAAUAUUGCUCAAUGGGGGAAACCCUGAUGCAGCGACGCCGCGUGAGGGAAGAAGUAUUUCGGUAUGUAAAGCUCUAUCAGCAGGGAAGAAAAUGACGGUACCUGAUUCAGAAGACCCGGCUAACUACGUGCCGGCAGCCGCGGUAAACCGUAGGGGGCAAGCGUUAUCCGGCUUUACUGGGUGUAAGGGUGGCUUAGAGGGCAUCACAAGUCUGGGGGGAAAUGCCGGGGGUUAGGCCCUGAACUGCUUUGGAAAAUGUGCAGCUAGAGUGCAGGAGAGGUAGGAGGAAUGCGUGGUGUAGCGGUGAAAUGCAUAGAUAUUAGGAGGAACACCGGUGGCGAAGGCAGCUUACUGGACUGUGACUGACGUUGAGGCUCGAAAGCGUGGGGAGCAAACAGGAUUAGAUACCCGAGUAGUC
rnacentral:rRNA from 1 species